GCUUAGAAGCAGCCACUCAUUAAAAGAGUGCGUAAUAGCUCACUGGUCGAGUGACCCUGCGCCGAAAAUUCAACGGGGCUAAACAAUGUACCGAAGCUUGGGAUUCUAAAGUAAUUUAGAGUGGUAGGAGAGCGUCGAAUAAGGGGUGAAGUCAGAGCGGAAGCGCUGGUGGACUUUAUUCGAGUGAGAAUGCCGGAAUGAGUAGCGAGAAUUAUGUGAGAAUCAUAAUGGCCGAAAAUCUAAGGUUUCCUGAGGAAGGUUCGUCCGCUCAGGGUAAGCCGGGGGCUAAGGCGAGGCGGAGACGCGUAGCCGAUGCACAUACGGUUGAAAUUCCGUAGCCACCGAAAGAUUUAAAUACAGGGACGCUUUAGAAGUGAUGUUGCCGGGCGAUGGUUGACCCGGUCGUAAGGGAUCGAAAAUGAGUAGAGAAGUCAUCAUGGAAAGAGACAAGAAAAGCUGUAUGAAUAUCUUAGGUGCCCGUACCGCAAACCGACACAGGUAGAUAGGAAGAAGAUUCUAAGGCCAACGGGAGAAGGGUUGUUAAGGAACUCGGCAAGUUGACCCCGUAACUUAGGGAUAAGGGGUGCUCAAGUGAUUGAGCCGCAGAGAAUAGGCCCAGGCGACUGUUUAGCAAAAACACAGGUCUCUGCUAAAUCGAAAGAUGACGUAUAGGGGCUGACACCUGCCCGGUGCCGGAAGGUUAAGAGGAGAUGUGAGAGCAUUGAAUUGAAGCCCCGGUAAACGGCGGCCGUAACUAUAACGGUCCUAAGGUAGCGAAAUUCCUUGUCAGGUAAGUUCUGACCCGCACGAAAGGUGUAACGAUCUGGGCACUGUCUCAACAACCCGCCCGGCGAAAUUGUAGUACCGGUGAAGAUGCCGGUUACCCGCGACUAGACGGAAAGACCCCAUGGAGCUUUACUGUAGCCUAAUAUUGGAUUUCGGUAUUUCACGUACAGGAUAGGUGGGAGACUGGGAAGCACAGGCGUCAGCUUGUGUGGAGUCGACCUUGGGAUACCACUCUUGGAGUGCUGGAAUUCUAACCUGCGGCUUUGAAGCAAGUCGGGGGACAUUGUUAGGUGGGCAGUUUGACUGGGGCGGUCGCCUCCUAAAGAGUAACGGAGGCGCUCAAAGGUUCGCUCUGCAUGGAUGGAAACCAUGCGUCAGAGUGUAAACGCAAAAGCGAGCCUAACUGCGAGAAUGACGGUUCGAGCAGUAACGAAAGUUGGAGUUAGUGAUCCGGCGGUAUGUGAAUGGAAAUGCCGUCGCUCAACGGAUAAAAGCUACCCUGGGGAUAACAGGCUGAUCUCCCCCAAGAGUCCACAUCGACGGGGAGGUUUGGCACCUCGAUGUCGGCUCAUCACAUCCUGGGGCUGUAUUCGGUCCCAAGGGUUCGGCUGUUCGCCGAUUAAAGUGGUACGCGAGCUGGGUUCAGAACGUCGCGAGACAGUUCGGUCCCUAUCUGUCGUGGGCGCAGGAUAUUUGAGGAGCUCUGUCCUUAGUACGAGAGGACCGGGAUGGACGUACCUCUGGUGCACCAGUUGUCAUGCCAAUGGCACGGCUGGGCAGCUAUGUACGGAACGGAUAAACGCUGAAAGCAUCUAAGCGUGAAGCCGACUCCAAGAUUAGAUAUCCCAUCGUAUAACGAGUAAGACCCCUUGAAGACUACGAGGUUGAUAGGCUGCGUGUGUAAGUGCCGUGAGGCAUUCAGCUUGGCAGUACUAAUAGGUCGAGGGCUUGACCAC
rnacentral:rRNA from 1 species